GGAGAGCAGUGCCGUUUAAGCUCCAGUACCCAAAGACCUGCAUGGAUCAGGAUAAGCAUUUGCCAGUUUUUCGUUGCGAAUGAAUGAUUGACAUGUGGUAUUAAUCAUGUUACUUAGGUCUUUGCGAAGGUUUGGGUAGGUACGUAUAACGUGUGGAGCUCUCCAGACCAAAGGCUCCACAUGUCCAGGCUAUCAUUUCUUACUCCGGUAUCUGUAGCCAGCCAGGCAACGGCUACUGGAUAUGUACAGUCUACCACUCGGCGAUAAUUGAAGAACUGGACGGUUAGCAACAUGCUCGUUAAGUUUACCUAGUUGUAUGCAAAUCUAUGGGGAUUAUUUUCUAUCAUGUAUGGACGACUGGUUGUUUAUGAACUUCAAAUUCUGUUGCAAAAGAUAGUUACCGGUGCAGGAUGGCAGGUGGUCCAAGGCACAUCACACCGACCAUUGGAGCUUUAAUAGAGUCGAUGAACAGAGGUGGCCUGGAUCGGAUAAAGAUGUCCGUUCGGCCGUUCGCUUUGAGCUUUACCUUCUUGAAGCUUGCAAGUUGAUCUACUCCAUCUACACAACAAGGAAAUAAACAAGAGCUCCGGACUGAAAUUGAAGAAGUAUGUCAAAAUCAUACACUGAAGCAUUGGGACUGCAAAUAUCACAUCAAGAGGAAAAUUUUGCAAGAAAGGAGCUCCCUACCCCAUAGAUUCUGGGAGGCAGAAUUGGACAAAGGCUAUAAUAAUGUAGGCCAAGUUGUUGAGCUCAAUCCUCUGCACAAACUUCAGAUAGCAGCAACGCUCGGUAGGACAAGCAGGGUAUCCACUAUCUGAUGAAGACAUGCAGUGAGCCCACUCCUUUGUGUUGGCCCAGAACCUUCAUUAAUUAACUGCCCUUGUGCAUUGUAUAUGAUGCAUCAUCAGUGAAAUCCAGGUGCUUUACUGAUUCUACUUUUGGCGCUCUUUCUGCUUUUGGCAUCCAAUGAUGGAGACACAAUUGUUGUAUAUGAGAGCAACAGGUGAACUGAUUCAUGAAUAAGCAAAAGCUUGGUCAUGCUGAAA